AAACCUUUUGCAAAACAGCUCUUGACGUCAGAGAUAUUUACUCCUAUAAUCAUUUCACACGAUACCCCCAAAAAACCUAAAAAUGAUUAGAAUCGUCUUGUUUCUUUUUCUACUUUCGUUUCUGGAAGUUUCCGAUGCUGACGAUACCAAGAAACCUUGUUAUGAGUGUACCCUGAUGUUCCGGGAAUGUCAUGCAUACUAUGACUGUGCGGGGCGACCUCGUGAUGCGACAAAAUGUCGGGCUUUCUGUAACGACCAGUACACGAGAUGUAUGGAUCUGUGCAAAUCUAAAAGAUAUUGAAUAUAUCAUGUAUAAACAUGCAUGUAGUUUUUUUUUUGUAAAAAAGAAAAUGUAUACUGAAUAUCCAUUAACGCAAUAAAAUCUUGCAAGCUGCC
rnacentral:sRNA from 1 species